UCAAUCACAAGUUCGCCCAUCGUAUGC
rnacentral:sRNA from 1 species